rnacentral:pre_miRNA from 1 species
AGUGGAAUGGCUGGAUCAUAUGGUAGGUAUAUAUUUAACUUUUUAAGAAACUGCUAAACUGUUUUCCAAAGUGGCUACACCAUUUUACAUUCCCACCAGCAGU